rnacentral:lncRNA from 1 species
GGGCACCUGUUUGCCAGUUCAAUAGUUUGCUAAGUUCUCCGAUAAUGAAGUCAAACAAACAAACGCCCCAAACACUCGAUGGGAUCCACGCCGUUUGCCGCCAAAAAGCUUUUUGGCCUGAGGUCGACACAUCAUCCUCAAAAUCACACCAGGAGUUUGAGACCCAUCUGUAAAGCAGUUUACAAAAGUGUACACAACGAUAAGUGUGGCCAACUAUUUCCAAGAGGAGGGGAGACUGCGGAGACUGCAGACUUUGAUCCAGACAGGUCUACGGCCUAAGCAGUUUUACGUCCCAGGAAGUUUUACACCCCUGUUGUCCCUGAUGCGUCCAGUAGAGGGAGGCAGUGCAGUAUUUUUUUUAAGCCUCCAGAACUAUACCACACUCAACCAUAAUUGCAUUCAAUUACAUUUAAUAUAAUGCUCUAAUGUUCUAGUUUAAACAAUUAAACUAUCAUAUAUCUAUAAAUGCAAAGAAACUCACAAUUUUAAAUGGUCUACUGAUUUUUAUUUGUAUAGCUAUACAGUGCCUUUUGUAUAUUAUACUAUGAAGUUUGCAUUGAACAUGCAUUCAUAUUGUUUAUCACUUAUUGUUUUAUAAUAUUUAUUGUACCAAUUUGUUACAUGGAAAAUAAUAAGAUAUGGGAAGGUCAGUAUCACACUUUGUUGCUGCAAAUAAAAAAUAAGUAAU